GACAUAGGUGGCGAACGUUAUCCGGAAUUAUUGGGCGUAAAGAGCUUGUAGGUGGUUUGUCGCGUCUGCUGUGAAAAUCCGAGGCUCAACCUCGGACUUGCAGUGGGUACGGGCAGACUAGAGUGUGGUAGGGGAGACUGGAAUUCCUGGUGUAGCGGUGGAAUGCGCAGAUAUCAGGAGGAACACCGAUGGCGAAGGCAGGUCUCUGGGCCACUACUGACGCUGAGAAGCGAAAGCAUGGGGAGCAAACGGG
rnacentral:rRNA from 1 species